GCAGGCGCGGGGACCCAACCCAAACCUCUGGAAUGAAAAAAGAGUCGCCGCGGCCAUCGCCGUCUCCGUCCCCAGCAUCACCCAAGGGCGUAGAACCUCGCGGCGGCCCGCGCGCCGCCUGCACGGAACUCCUACGCCGGCCCGUCGCUUCCCCGGCUCGCCGGAGCCGCGCGUGCGAGGCCGUCCUCGCCGCGGCCGGCCGCCGGUGUACGACGCCGGCUCGGACCUCCGCCGGAACCGACGCCCACCGCCUCCCCUCCCAAGCUAAUGGAAUUGAAGCCUAAACCUCUUGAAAACUUAGACGAUCAGUUCGUGUGGCCCUGGAUGGGUGUCCUGGUCAACGUGCCUACUGAAUGGAAGAAGAAUAACGGGCGCCAGGUUGGCCAGAGUGGAAAUCGGUUGAAGGAGCUGGAUGCAAGUAUAAGGAUACAAGUGCAUCAAUUGGCAGUAUGACGGAGCAAAAGGAGCAGCUCCUCCACUCUCUACAAUGAAGGAACUGGAGUAAAGAUCCAAGAAGCUUGAUGAGCUAGCUGCUCAAAGUAAGUCUGAAAGAAAAAGGUGUGUGAUCUUGAACAAGAGUAGGUACCUUGCGCCUUGGUACUAUGCAUAUAACUUGCUCUAUGAUGUUGUGGUGUCAACACAUAACAAUAAUUAAAACAAAGCAUCCUAAGAUG